CGUCAUUCUAUUUUUUAUCAUCACAACAAUUACACAUCACCUAAAAAUAUUAUCAUAACAAAAAACUCAAUAACAUAAAUUAGAACUAUAAAAAAAUAUGAAAAUUAUUGCUCAAUAAAAUUCAAAAAUAUUUUUAUAACAAAGUAAUGACAUAAAUAUACAAAUUUAAAUUUGAAUUAUAUAAUAAAAAAAAUAAUAACAAAUGACAAGACUUUGUAUUUAAAAGGCUUUGAAAUAAAAUAAAUUUCAAUGACGUCUAAAUUGAAAUUCAUAUCUCCUGGUGACAGUUCAUGGCAUGAAGACAAACCCGAUAUCGACGCACACUCAGGAACUCAAUUUAUUUACAACGCAAAUCAUUCACUGGCAUUAGAUUUGCAACGUAAACGUCUGCCAAUAUUUAAAAGUCGCUCCGAAAUAAUUUAUCUAUUAGAAAAUUAUCAAACACUUGUCCUGAUUGGAGAAACCGGCUGUGGAAAAAGUACCCAAGUACCUCAGUAUUUAGUAGAAGCAGGAUGGAGUGCAGAUGGGAAAAUGAUUUGCAUAACAGAGCCAAGAAGAGUUGCAGCAACUUCCUUAGCAAAUCGAGUUGCGGAUGAACGUGGUUGUAUUCUCGGUACUGAAGUUGGUUAUUCUAUAAGAUUUGACGACUGUACUGAUGAAACCACCAAAAUUAAGUAUAUGACAGAAGGAAUUUUGUUAAGAGAAAUGAUGAGUGAUCCCUUACUUACUAAGUACUGCAUUAUAAUACUUGACGAAGUACAUGAACGUACUUUAUUGACAGAUAUAAUUAUGGGAUUAUUAAAAAAAAUAAUACGAAAACGAAGGGAUUUAAAAGUUAUCGUUUCUUCAGCGACUGUUGACGCUGAAGAGUUACGAGAUUAUUUCAAUUUAAAUGCAUCGAAAGAUUCAACAAAAAAUACAGCAACUAUAUUAAGUGUUGAGGGACGUUUAUAUCCUGUUGAUAUAUUUUAUGUAAAAGAACCAGUACCUGAUUAUGUAAAAGCAGUAGUGGAUACAGCAUUAAAAAUUCACGAAACCGAAGAACCUGGUGAUAUUUUAGCUUUUCUCACUGGUAUGGAUGAAGUGGAUCGAGCUGUUUCUCUUUUAUCUGAGCAUGCAGAUCUCAUCAAAGAAGGAAAACAUAAAAUUGUCCCACUACCAAUGUAUGGAUCCCUACCGAACGCAGAUCAAUUGAAAGUAUUUUGGAAAGCACCGAAAAAUACACGAAAAAUUGUUAUUGCCACAAAUAUUGCCGAGACAUCAAUUACUAUUCCAAAUAUUGUUUACAUAAUCGAUUGUGGUUUCGCCAAAAUUCCAUGGUUUGAUGUUGAUACUCAUACAAACAGUCUGAUUGUUGCUCCAGUAUCAAAGGCAUCAGCUGAUCAACGCGCUGGUCGUGCCGGUCGUGUUCAAUCAGGAAAAGCCUACAGACUGUAUACUGAAGAUGCGUAUGAUGAUUUCAUUGAAUCAAACCCACCACAAAUGCAACGUUCAGAUUUGGCACCAGCUAUUUUACAACUCAAAGCACUAGGAAUAGAUAAUGUAUUAAGAUUUAAUUUUCCAUCAGUACCACCGAGUAAAAGUUUAGUUGCUGGACUAGAAUUACUUUACGCUUUAGAUGCUAUUGAUAGAAACGGUAACUUGACAAAACCACUGGGAUUUACAAUGGCUGAAAUGCCACUAGAACCAGUAUUUGCUAAAUGUUUAUAUACUUCAGGAGAAAUGGGUUGUUCUGAUGAAAUAUCAACAAUACUAUCAAUGCUUCAAGUACAAAAUAUAUUAAUAAGACCAUCAAGUGGUCAAGGAUCUAUAAAAGCACGUAUCGCACAUAGAAAAUUUGAAGUUGAAGAAGGUGAUCUAAUUACAAUGUUAAAUAUAUAUAAAGCUUAUGAAAAAUAUAAAUCAUCAAGUUGGUGUCAAAAAUAUUUUUUAAAUGUCAAAGGAUUGAAACGCGCUACGGAAAUACGUAAGAAAAUGCGCGUUAUGAUGAAAAAUUUAAAUAUACCAAUUACAUCAUCUAAUGGUGAUUUGAAAUUAAUUUUGCGAUGUCUCACUGCUGGUUUAUUCCCGAACGCCGCAUUUUUACAUUACACUGGUGUUUAUAAAACAGUUAGAGGUGACAAAGAUUUAUAUAUACAUCCUAAUAGUUGUCUAUAUACAAUUCAACAACCGCAAUGGAUAUUAUUCUGUGAAAUAUUACAAACAACAAAAACAUAUAUGAGAGAACUGACUGUCAUUAAUCCCGAAUGGCUUUUAGAAUUAGCUCCACAUUUUUACGAGCGAACGGCUUUGAAUUCUUUAUAAAUCUCGUCACUAAUUCCAAAAGGAUUUAUAUUUUUAUACGCUCUUUUGGCAGUCAUUAAGUUUAAGAUCAAAAGGGCAUACAAUUUUUUUUUUAUUGUUAACCAUAUCCUCCUCGAUCCUGACGCCCCAUAUAGGGGACAAUUUUGCCAAAGUCGGCAAUAUCUCAUGAAAUAUGCAGAUUAAAGGAAAAAAUCGUAGGAACAAUUUUGUAGGAAAUUAAAUUCUUGACAAAAAAAGUCAUGUUCAUUUUUUUUAUAAAAUGUGUAUUUAUGAAGAUAUUUUUAAAAAACUUUUUUAGAUCUGACGAAUUGAGCAUUUUAAGGAUUACAAAUUUGAAAAUAACAUUUUUCUAAGUAUAUAGAAACUACAACAAGCAUUAAUGAUUGAUAUGUUACGAGUUACGAAGUUGUCUAUAUUUAAGCAAAAACGUUAUUUUUGACAUUCGUUAUCCUUAAAAUGCUCAAUUGAUAAGAUCUAAUAAAGUUUUUUAAAAAUAUCUUCAUAAAUACACAUUUUAUAAAAAAAAUGAAUAUGACCUUUUUUGUCAAGAAUUUAAUUUCUUACAAAAUUGUUCCUAUGAUUUUUUCCUUUAAUCUGCAUAUUUCAUGAGAUAUUUAAAAAAAAAUCGUGAUUGCAUCGAAAAAUUAACUUUGUUCAUCCUGCGGCACAUGUUCUUUUUACUUAAAAAGAAAAAACCAAAUUGCCCACGUAUUUUUUUACUAAAAAGAAGCUUAUUAUGGAGUUUCUGAGAAAAUUUAAUUUUGAACGACCACUCUAAUAAGUAUACUUAUAAAAAAUGAUUCAAAUAGCAAACGAAAUGAUGCCUCGGGACUGAGGAGGAUAUUGUAGACUUAUUAUAAAACUGAAAUUUAUUUUUUCAAUUUUUAGCUGUAAAAUAAGUCUAUAAAAUGAUUGGCAAUAAAAAAAAUAUACGCUCGUUCGGAAUUAGUAACUCAAAAUGAUUAUGAUCAUUAUUUUAUUUAUCAAACAUUAAUUAAUGAGUGAAAUGCAUUUAUUAAUAAACAUAAAUUGUAAAUAAUGUAAAAAUACCACUAACUUUGACUAUAAAUUUAUUCACAUUACGAUUAAGUGUUAACGAGAUUUGUUUAUGCUGUUUAAUUACACGAACAUCAGAAAAUUCGUUCUGAGACAAUAGGAACUUAAAGUUCACACAUCAUUCGUUUCUAGUAUUAAAAAAUAUGUUCAAACAUCACAUGAUUUCUGAAUUACUAAGCACUCAGCUAUUAUUGAAAUGCAAUUUACAAAUUCUUUGUCAUCGAGCA